rnacentral:rRNA from 1 species
CAGGAGGUAGUGACAAGAAAUAACAAUACGGGGCUUUACGUCUUGUAAUUGGAAUGAUGGGAAUCUAAACCUCUUCCARAGUAUCAAUUGGAGGGCAAGUCUGGUGCCAGCAGCCGCGGUAAUUCCAGCUCCAAUAGCGUAUAUWAAAAUUGUUGCAGUUAAAAAGCUYGUAGUUGAAUUUCUGCUGCAUCGCCUUUUCUCCUKUACGAGUUUYGGCAUUGUGGCUUAUUUMGGAUUUGCUUGCAUUUCCGAAUGUUUACUUUGAGAAAAUUARAGUGCUCAAAGCAGGCUUUUGCCUUGAAUAGUUUAGCAUGGAAUAAUAAAGUAGGACUUUGGUUCUAUUUUGUUGGUUUUAGGUACCAAAGUAAUGGUUAAUAGGAACAGUUGGGGGCAUUCGUAUUUAACUGUCAAAGGUGAAAUUCUUAGAAUA